AUGUGGGUUCCUCUAACGUGCGCAGCUAGAGCUCUACUUAGCUGAAAAGAUGAGAUGAAACUGACAUUCCGUUCAGGGUAGCAGAGCUGACUAACAGAAAUCUAAGCGUACCAUCUUUCUUUUUCUUUUCUUUUUUUUCUUGUUUUUUUCGCUUUAACUUCUUUUUAACUUUUGCACUGACAUGAUUUAUAUCAAGCAUAAUCGGAAAGAGAGAUCCUUAUGUAAUCUUCAUGUUUAGAAUCAAUAUGAAGUAGUCUCUCUUCGUUUCA